rnacentral:tRNA from 1 species
GUGGUGGCGCAGAGGUAGAGUGCUUGCCUAGCAUGUGUGAGGCACUGGGUUGGAUUCUCAGCACCACA